rnacentral:rRNA from 1 species
CGACGUAGGAACCUGUCAUCCGGUGGGGGAUAACGCUGGGAAACCGGCGCUAAUACCGCAUGGGAGGCUUUAGCGAGUGCUAGAGUCUGAAAGGAGCAAUCCGCCCGAUGAGGGGCCUGCGUCCGAUUAGCUGGUUGGUGGUGUAAUGGCCUACCAAGGCGACGAUCGGUAGCUGGUCUGAGAGGAUGGUCAGCCACACUGGGACUGAGACACGGCCCAG